CCUACGGGAGGCUGCAGUGGGGAAUAUUGGACAAUGGGCGCAAGCCUGAUCCAGCCAUGCCGCGUGAGUGACGAAGGCCUUAGGGUUGUAAAGCUCUUUUGGCGGGGACGAUAAUGACGGUACCCGCAGAAUAAGCCCCGGCUAACUUCGUGCCAGCAGCCGCGGUAAUACGAAGGGGGCUAGCGUUGUUCGGAAUCACUGGGCGUAAAGCGCACGUAGGCGGACUUUCAAGUCAGGGGUGAAAUCCCGGGGCUCAACCUCGGAACUGCCUUUGAUACUGUUGGUCUCGAGUCCGAUAGAGGUGAGUGGAAUUCCUAGUGUAGAGGUGAAAUUCGUAGAUAUUAGGAAGAACACCGGUGGCGAAGGCGGCCCACUGGAUCGGUACUGACGCUGAGGUGCGAAAGCGUGGGGAGCAAACAGGAUUAGAUACCCGAGUAGUC
rnacentral:rRNA from 1 species